CUGAGACGGAGACCUGCGGAGGGCGAGGGCUGGUUGGAGGUCGCUGUCCUUUCUGGGAACCAAGCAGGGGUCGCAGGAGGGCGGGGAUGGGUCAGCGGGGAUCUCUGAGUGGGGUUCGGCUGAGAGAGGCCACAGUUUCAUCUUUGGGAAGCUACCCUGGGCCGGCCACGCGCCGUGAGCCGGACUGGCGACGCCCCCCUGCCUCCACCGUGCUCCUUCACCCGAGAAAUUCAGCUCAGCCCCAGCCUCUCGGCAACCUCCCUUUGGCUCCGCCUUUUAAAGGACCUUUACGCACCUACAAGAGGACCAACAUUCUCCAGGAAAUUCUGUCCUUUAAAACCAUGAGAUGAAUAAUCUUGGUCUGGAAGAUAUUCAUAGAAAGAAGCUUAGAAUGUUUGAUUUUUGAGCAUGAAUUAACUGUACAGUCAUCAAUUAAAUAAGCUGAUCCACUGA
rnacentral:lncRNA from 1 species